AUUUCUAGGUACUCCCUACCCUGGCUCGGGUAUAGGGGCUGCUAUUUUAAUCUGAGCCCUAUUUCUUACAGAUCUCUGAGUCACCUUCUGCUCUGCAUUACAGGUGUGUACUAUAAGUUUAUGGUUUCAAGAGUUCUAAAACAUUUAUUGCCUGAAUAUAAAAUGGUUCAAAGUAUUAGGAAUAUGUGGCUACAGAAACACAGUUUCAGUUUGUUGUUUAACUCUGCGUUAGGCCAAGCCAUGGACACAGAGCCCUGUAAAGGAGCCAAAAGGCUUAGGCCACGUGGCUUACAGUUAUUAGGCUAUUUAAUCAAGUUGUUCAGCCAUGUUAAACUGUUUUUGAGCCAUUUUAGUUUGAGCCCUGUUCCCUGCAGACCCCUGAGUCUCUCUCUGCUCUGUAUUACAGGUACCUGUACUAUCAGGAUCAGAAGAACCCUGUGACUUCGAAGAAUGAAGCCUGAGUUUGAUUGUGUUACAGCAGCAUUGUCAUAUUUUUAAACAGGAAUCACAAAACACUAAGAGGCCAGUUUGACAACUAUUAACAAGCCCAAUGUUUAAAGUCUGGGUCCAGUGUGUAGCAGCCAUGGAUGUAUUUACGAGCACAGACUAGCCCCCGGAGAGGUAUUUUGGGAAGACUCACCCAACAUAGAUCAGCUUUGUUUCUAUCCAUUUGGUGUUUUCGCUUCAAGAUGCAGAAGCAGAUGAACAAGAGCCCCAAGGGAAUCAAAGCAACCAAUACGUAGAUUGUUACAGUGUCGACUGUUGCUGAUUGGCCUGUAGAGAAAAUCAGCAAGCCUUUAACAUGGGCUGCCACUAUCUGUCAGAUACUCCAUCAUUCUCCAAGGGAAAGAAGGAAAAGGAAAGGCUAUGGGUACAGGGGUCUGACAGAGAAGGGAGAGAGGCCACAUGCAGCGGCAUAUACGAGGGGCACUUCCAAACAAAAUUCCUUUCACCAGGGCCUCAUGCACUGUUUAUAUACACAACAGUUUGUGCCCAAGGUUUUUAUGGGGGCCAUUUUAUUUCUGUGGCCUGGUGUUAGGUGAGCGUCAGCACCAGUAACUCUUCUCUCUCUCCCAUGUGUACCAGACCCACCUCCCCACUUCUCUCAGCUGCCCCAAAGAUCCUUGUCCUCUCUCCAUCCUGCACC
rnacentral:lncRNA from 1 species